GCAAUACCUGCCCAGUGCGAAAUAUUACUGUAAACGGCCGCCCUAGCGUGAGGGUGCUAAGGUAGCGAAAUUCCUUGCCUUUUGAUUGUAGGCCUGCAUGAAUGGUUUAACGAGGGUUUAACUGUCUCUAAAUUUUUUAUUGAAAUUGUACUGAAGGUGAAGAUACCUUCAUUUAAAAGUUAGACAAAAAGACCCCGUGCAACUUUGAAAAUUAACUUUAUUCAGAAGUAAAAGAUUUUUAGGUGGGGCGCCUAGAAAGUAAGUCUAACCUUUCUGAAUAAUUAGUUCUUUCCGGAUUCGACCCGAUUAUAUUCGAUCAUAGGAGAAGUUACGCCGGGGAUAACAGGCUAAUCCUUUAGUAGAGCUCGUAUUGGCUAAAGGGAUUGGCACCUCGAUGUUGAAUCAGGGAUGAUAGCUUCAAGGCGUAGAGGCUU
rnacentral:rRNA from 1 species